rfam:Candidatus Pacearchaeota archaeon CG1_02_35_32 cg1_0.2_scaffold_13_c, whole genome shotgun sequence.
GAAGACGGCCAUAGUGAUUGGGAAACACCUGUUCCCUUUCCGAACACAGAAGUUAAGCCUGUCACGUCUUGUGCGUUAGUCUCCGACCAGAGGCGAAACACGGAUGCUGUCUUCU